CUCCAGCCCGCUUCCCAUAUUUGCAGCAUGUCCCGGUGUUCACAGAGCUUGGCUGCCUCCUCUGUCCCAGGAGACGCUUAGAGCUGUCCUCCCAGGGAGUCAUGUCGGCCUCUAGGGUGUGCAUGGAGCUGAGGGGACACUCCUGCUGCCUCCCUGGAGUGGUAAUUAAUGGGGACUUUCCUCCUCCCAGAACCAACAUCCCGGGUAACCGGGUGGCUGAAGGACAGGUGACGUGUCCCUACCUCCCCCCCUUCCCUGCCCGAGGCUCCGGCAUCCACCGUCUUGCCUUCCUGCUCUUCAAGCAGGACCAGCUGAUUGACUUCUCCGAGGACGCACGCCCCUCACCCUGCUAUCAGCUGGCCCAGCGGACCUUCCGCACUUUUGAUUUCUACAAGAAACACCAAGAAGCCAUGACUCCAGCCGGCUUGUCCUUCUUCCAGUGCCGCUGGGAUGACUCCGUCACCUACAUCUUCCACCAGCUUCUAGACAUGCGGGAGCCGGUGUUUGAGUUCGUGCGGCCG
rnacentral:sRNA from 1 species